UUUUUACUUUUAUCUUUUUAGAAAAGUUAGAAAAUACUAUGGGUAAGGAAAGUUAACUUACAUUAUAUACAAAACAUUAUAUGCAUUAAUUUGGUUCAGUUGAAAUGAUUUGGUAUGAUUCAGUGAAGUUUGUAAACUUUUAAAUAAAUUAUAAGUUUUGAAUGAUGUAUGCUUUUAAAAAUUUCAGCUUUCAUAAUCCUCCAACAAUUGGUAUGAAUUUAAGAACUAUUAAUGUAAAAUGCAUAUUAAUCUGAUUAUGUAUUUUAUUGUUAUUAAUAUUAUUAAUUCUUUGUUGUUGCAAUUUUCAGCUCAGUCUGCAUCUAUAGGAUUACCCCUAUAGUGGUGUCUACAUCUUUAAUUUCUAAAUAAGUGGCAUCUAGUGGAUGUAAAUAGUGUAACUUGCAAAGUAAGUGCAGCAAGUAGUGGAACUUGCAAAAAGGUACAGCAAGUAGUGGAACUUGAAAAUAGGUACAGCAAGUUUUGAGUCUUGCAAAUUUUUUUGAUAGACGACUCUGGCUUACCUUUACCUAUCUAUAGUUAAAAUGAUUUAUUUUAGUUCCUAAAUGGAAUUCAAACCGUAAAUCGUUUACUAAAAGUCAUGACAAUAGUUAGUUACUUUUUUUAAAAAAAGACUUGCUGCUGUGUAUUUUUUUUUAGGAUGGAGUGGGUACCCCUUCCUUCGCAUGGCAAAAUGGAUACUUUCAUACAUCUUGUAAUGUGGUAAAAUAGUUUUUUUAAAAGCAUUUUAAAAAUAUUUUUCUGUAAAAUUCUCAUUAAAAUUUUUUUUAGGUAUGGUGCGAUAGGAGGGCGGCUUACGCCCCUUUCCAUGAAGGCAAUUUAUACUCCACUAGUUACUAUUUUUCCAAGUAUCGAAAUAUAUGUUUUUGUUUUUUAUACCAGAAUUAAUUGUUUUAGUAAAGAAUAAAAUAUUUAAAAGAAUGAAAUUUUGAUAGGGUGUGUUAAACCUUACCCAAAAUCCAACACCCGACUUUGAGAUAGACCUGUAAUAUUCACUAGUGAUGUGGUAUAAAAUAAUAACAACUUUUUGUAUAUAAAUAUUUGUAAUUAAAAAAAAGAAAAAGAUUUUUAUGGAAAAAGUGUUUUUUUGUGAGAUGUAGGUGGUGGAUUAGCACCCCCUCCGGAUCCCUUCUGCGCUCUAAAACUAAAUUUUACUUAAAAUUUAUUUGGAAAAUAUAGCCUUCUUCUAUAUCUAUCUUUUGAUACCAAACUAUAGAUAUUUGAAUAAGAACUGGCAAAGUUAUAACGAUUUAUGUAAAAAAAAUUUUGACCACAGUUUUUAUCAAGAAAUCCAUUUAUAGAAAAUUUGCUACUAAAAACGUCAUAACUUUUGAUAAAAUAGUCCAAUUUUCAUAAUUUUUUCACUUUUAAAAUACUGUAUUUGACUGUAUUUAACACUCUUGUAUUUGAUCAAUUUAAAAAAAAUCAGUCCACGUGCUUAAUAUCAGGCAAGAUUAGAUAAC